AUCAGAUCACCUGGGGAUCUUGUUAAAAUGUAGAUUUUGCUGCUGUAGGGCCACAGUGAGGUCUGAGGUUGUGUAUUUCUAACAACCUCCCAGAUGAUACUGUG
rnacentral:pre_miRNA from 1 species